rnacentral:lncRNA from 1 species
CCUUUCUGUUUUGCCUCUGGAGCUGAAGGUUGAGAACUCAGAGCUGCCCGUGUUCUACCCUGUGAAAAUAAAGGCAAUCAAUUCACAGAGACAAGCAGAAACAAGGCGUCCAGAGCAAGUCCUUCACAUCACCCUGGACACCCUGGCCCUGAUUUCCACUCCCUGCCAGGCUUGUUUGUCCAAUUCUUCUUUUUGUUCCAAGCACCAUCCCAGCAGGCUUAGUUACCUGUAAGCAUUUGGUUAAUCUCUCUUCUCAGCUAGACCGUAGGCUCCCCGAGUGCAGAAACUAUGUUUAUUUUGGUCUCUGCUGGAUCUCCAGCACCUAAAUAAAUGUUUAUGGUUGACUGCAAGGCAGAUCUGUGUGGGGAAUGAAGAAGAGUAUUAAGACCUCCCAGAUGGGCUGCUGGAGGCCUGUCCAAGGUGGAACUUUGCAUGGUGAGAAAUGCAAUUCAGUAGGAAAACAAAGAACUCCUUCAUCCUCCUCUAGAUUCUGCAGGCAAGUGAUCAGCUCAAGGUGAAGGAUCUAAAACCUGAAAAGAGGCCAAAUGAUUCCUCAAAACCACGCAAGUACGAAGUAGCAGAGCGGAUCUCAAAUCCAGAAUACUACUAAAGUCAUGCCGUGUGACUUCUGAAGCUAGCUCCUAAGAAGUCCUUGCAGCUUCUGCCUGCGACUCUUAGAACACUUGCUUUGAAGGAUGCCAGAUGCUGUCUUAAAAGUCUGAGCACUCUGAAACCAUCAUGCUGUGAGGAAGCCCAAGCUAACCACAUGGGCAAAAAAGAUGCCCUCUGACUGCCACCAUUUGAGACACUCUAAUUAAGAACUGCCUCAUUGAGCCCAUGAGGCCCUGUGAAUGAUAAUAAUAAAUUGUUUUUAACCACUA